AAUAAAUAAAUGUCAAAUUAUGUACCAUUAUAACUUGCAACAUAUAAACAAAUUCUGCUUUAGCCCGAUCCUCUUGUUACAAAAAUGUUUCUCCUUUUUUCAUCAUAUAAUCUGUCCAUCCGAUCUAGAGAAAUGGCUGACGUGCAUAAAACAACAUAGGGGAAACAGAGAAAGGUUGGGCUAGCUCAAGUUGCAGACGAAAAUCCUUUCAUCUCGAAUUGGAAGCUUCAGAUUUGGCUAUAGCAGAACCCACAAAUCACUCCACUGAUCACUUGAAAAAGGUUUUGAUAACAAAGAACAGCACAAAAGUCGAUAACACAUGAAAAGAAAAAGAAAUAAAUGAUCACUUUUCAAGAAAAAAGAAAAGGAAUUAACAAGAUCUAAAAAGCAUGGUGGAAGGGAGAAGCACCACCAUCAAAUACAUAAUUCUAGUUUGAUGCCACAGAUGAAGAGAAACAUCAGGUUGAAGACAGAGCACAAAGAAAGGAGUGAAAAGAACCUACAUAGCAAUCUUUUCCCUCAACACGGUACCGUGCCUCCCUUAAAUCUGCAACACUGCGUCUGACUUGCUCGCCCCGAUACUCAAGAACCUGAAACAAGUAAAUGUAUGCUGCAUAAGUAACUUCUAGAUUUGAUGCUGAAGUAAUUAGCAUUACGAGCACAGGUUAUGACUCAAAAAUGAUUGCCUAUCGAGAAAAGCUCCUCAGUAUGAAAAGAUAUAGGACUCCAUUUUCAUGCGAUUA